CCCUAUAGAGUUCCAAGGAGGCUGAUCCCCUAAAGAGAUCAACCCCAAGUUUAGAAUCUGCAAGGGUUCUAACACCUAGUAUCAGAGCAGCGUUCUUGGCAUCUCGCUACCCUUCCACUGCCAUCCAUCAGCCCUCCACAACCGCCCAAAGCAAUUCCCACAAUUGCUUAAAAGAUCGUCGCCGAAUUCCGUCAUCAUCUCCACCACCGCGGAUCAUCCUUUGAUCUCCCCAUGAAUUGCAACAGGUUCUAGUUUCCUACCUUACUGCUGCUGCAAUUUAGUUAUCCUUAUUCGAAAAUCCAAAAAAAAAA
rnacentral:lncRNA from 1 species